rnacentral:rRNA from 1 species
GAUGAACGCUGGCGGCGUGCCUAACACAUGCAAGUCGAGCGAACAGACCGGGAGCUUGCUCCUCUGACGUUGGCGGCGGACGGGUGAGUCACACGUGGAUAACCUACCUCUAAGACUGGGAUAACUACGGCAAACCGGAUCUACUACCGGAUAAUAUAUUGAACCGCAUGGUUCAAUCGUUAAAUUCGGUUUUUGUGACACUUAUAGCCGGCUCCGGGCCGCAUGAGUUAGUUGGUAAGGUAACGGCUUACCAACGCUACGAUGCGAAGCCGACCUGAGAGCGUGAUCGGACAGACGGGAAGUGAGACACGGCAGAGACUCCGACGGGAGGCCGCAGUCGAGAAUCUUCCGCAAGGGGCGAGAGCCUGAUAGAGCAACGCCGCGUGAGGGAUGAAGGACCUCGGAUGGUAAAGCGCUGUUGGUAGGAAAGAACAAAAGCGCAUGUAACCAGGAUGGUAUUGACGGUACCGAAAGAAUAAGCCCCGGCUAACUACGUG